GACGAACCGCCCGAACGUUGUUCGGAAUCACUGGGCUUAAAGGGCGCGUAGGCGGACCUGCAAGUCGGGGGUGAAAGCCCGAGGCUCAACCUCGGAACUGCCUUCGAUACUGCGGGUCUCGAGUCCGGGAGAGGUGAGUGGAAUUCCUAGUGUAGAGGUGAAAUUCGUAGAUAUUAGGAAGAACACCAGUGGCGAAGGCGGCUCACUGGCCCGGUACUGACGCUGAGGCGCGAAAGCGUGGGGAGCAAACAGG
rnacentral:rRNA from 1 species